rnacentral:lncRNA from 1 species
UAAAGUUCAAUUAAUAAAGACAGGCUCGAAUGUAAUUCACAUAAUCGAUUAAUAAAUCAAGUACUUGCUAAUAGAACUACUUAUGGGCAGUGUUUCCUACUUUCAAAAGAACCAAUUUAACAGGAACUGUCGCUUUCGUGUAUUCAGAACCGAGUUGUACUCCCUAAUCAAACCCUCUUAUUGUCAUUUAUAAAAAGGCGC